rnacentral:tRNA from 1 species
AAGCUUCGUGGUGAAAUUCAUAUCAAAUUGCAAAUUUGAAGAUACACUUUUAUUAGUGUCGGGGCUUUCC